rnacentral:rRNA from 1 species
GACGAACGCUGGCGGCGUGCCUAAUACAUGCAAGUAGAACGCACAGUUUAUACCGUAGCUUGCUACACCAUAGAUUGUGAGUUGCGAACGGGUGAGUAACGCGUAAGUAACCUGCGUGGUAGCGGGGGAUAACUAUUGGAAACGAUAGGUAAUACCUCAUAAUAUUAAUUAUUGCAUGGUAAUUGAUUGAAAGGUGGAAUUGGACCACUACCAGAUGGGCCUGCGUUGUAUUAGCUAGUAGGUGAGGUAACGGCUCACCUAGGCGACGAUACAUAGCCGACCUGCGAGGGUGAUCGGCCACACUGGGACUGAGACACGGCCCAGACUCCUACGGGUGGCAGCAGUAGGGAAUCUUCGGCAAUGGACGAAAGUCUGACCGAGCAACGCCGCGUGAGUGACGGAGGCUUUCAGAUCGUAAAGCUCUGUUAUAAGAGAAGAACGGGUGUGAGAGUUGAAAGUUCACACUGUGACGGUAUCUUACCAAAAAGGGACGGCUAACUACGUG